rnacentral:piRNA from 1 species
UGACUGCUGUGCCUGUGUCUGUCUGG